AAUAGAUGACGCCGUUGACUUUUUAUCACACGUUUGACCAUUCGUCUUAUUCAAAAAAUUUACGUAAUUAUAAUUUAUUUUGUUAUGAGUUGUUUUAUCACUCAAAGUACUUUAAGCAUAAUUUAUAUUUAUACGUUUACAUAAUUUUUUUUAAUAAAACGAAUGGUCAAACAUAUAUUCAAAAGUCAACGGCGUCAUCUAUU
rnacentral:pre_miRNA from 1 species